rnacentral:rRNA from 1 species
CGUUCAGGAUUAGCUGUUUCGUCAGUGUCGGGUCAUCGCCCUUCUUUCGGCAGAAAGGCCGUUCCCCGUUUCUUUUGCCUGACCCAGGUUCCAAUUUUUACAUUUGUGGAUAAACUGGGGAAACCCAGGACAAUACCUACCGCGCCCUACGUACGAAAGCGAGGGACCUUCGUUCCUCGCUCUAUCGGAUGAACCUAUGUCGGAUUAACUGGUUGGUGAGGGAACGGCUCACCCAGGUAACGAACCGUACCUGGCCGGAGAGAAAGAACAACCACACUGGGACUGAGACACAGCCCAGACUCAUACGGAAGGCAGGAGUGGGGAAUAUUGAUUGAUGGGGGCAACCCUGAUCCAUCCAUGCCUGGCGUGUGAAGAAGGACUUCCUUUUGGAUAGCACUUUCUUUGAGGAAGAAGGACUGCGUGUUAAUAACCGGCAGGAAGGACAUCACUCACAGAAGAAGCACCGGCUAACUCCGUGCCAGCAACCGCGGUAAUCAAUA